UGUUACUUAAAAGUCACUGUUGUUCUUAUAUUGACUGCAUAGAAAAAGGAGACAAAGUAAACCUAAUCCCAUAUACACCCCAGCCUGGGCCACUGUUCCUGGUCUGUAUUGUGAAUGGGGAGAUAUGG
ensembl:snoRNA